AGUAGAUAAAUGAAAUGUAAAAAAUUAUUUGUUUUUCUAGUCCAUAAAAUGAGGAAAGCUAAACCAAUUUGAGGGGAAAAUUCAACAUGUCUGGCUUCUCAGCAGCCCCGGAGUCUACAGGGGUGGGCAGAGGAGGAAGAUAAUUUCCAACUGUGGUGUGUGAAACCCUGCCUUAAGAAGUAAAUUCCAGGUCUAGAAAAUGGAAAAAUAAGAAGAUGAGGAUAGUAGUGGGAGGGUCAGGUUUUAUAAGCACUUAAUUUGAUAGUUUGCUUCUCAAAAAUUAUAUUCUGACUUUCCCUGUUGUUCCUCUGAAUUUUCAAAAGCUUUUUAAAGGAAAAUGAAUUACAGAUCUGGAAAUUUUUUGUUGGUAUUGACCCAGGCAAAACCAUGACAAAUCUGCCAAAUCUGGAUUUAAGUGUCUCAGCAAAAGAGGGAGAUUAGGACAGAUGUUCAGACAGAGAUUGAUGUACGUAUCUUUAGUCUGCUUGUGUCCUAAACUUUGAAUUCCCUACUGCCAGUCUUUCCCUAUAAUUACCUCCCAGAACAAUUACUCUUUCCUAAUGACUUCCAUUCCAACCUCCUAAAUCAUACACAGGUUUAAACUCAUCCCUCCAUCCUCCCUUCCAAGUGAUCCCCAAUACAGGAUGAACCAGUAUGUCACAACAGGAAGGUGGCUACGGGUUAUUACCUGAUUCUUCAGCCACGGACACUGCGCUUGUGGGCAAGGAACAAUGGCAAAUGGCUCCGAAUAACCCCGGUCUUUCUCUGAGCAAGGGCUCGAUUCGGUGACCUCUGAAAGUUGCUCCAAGCUGCAAUAAUUCCAUGGUUCUUUACUGUGCCAGCAACUUCCACAAAGCAGGUAUUUCCCACUUCAGUUUUUUAUCCCUUUACUGAUUGGUGGAUUUUUUGAGACUGAUGGACAGGCAGACUGUGCCUGUUUUGUUUCCUCAGAAAACUAGGGUAAAAUACAUAAUUACAACAUUUUCAGGAAUGUUCGCAAUACAGAGAUCUUUGAUUUGAUGAUUUCUCUUUGAUCACACUAACAUUAUAUUUUAAGGAGAGAUAUAAAUCCUUAUUCCUUAGUAAUAAAAGGUGGUGAACCCAUUACA
rnacentral:lncRNA from 1 species